UUUUUUUUUCCGAUUUUUCCAAUAUAUUGAGAAAACUCGUGAGAAAAUCAAUAAAACGACUUCAAUAAAGUACCUCUUAUGUCACAUUUCAUUUCGGAAAAAGUGCUACACUUGUAAAUCGGAGUAAUAUUUCUGGUAGAAAAUUUGUUCACGGAUAAAAAAAUAAACAUCAUUGUAAAAUCAUAAACUUAUUCGCUCCACUCAGAAUC